CAGCCGCCGCGGUAAUACCGGCGGCCCGAGUGGCGGUCACUCUUAUUGGGCUUAAAGCGUCCGUAGCCGGGUUGGGAAGUCCUCCGGGAAAUCUGGCCGCUUAACGGUCAGAAUGCCGGAGGAUACUCCCAGCCUAGGGAGCGGGAGAGGCCGAGGGUAUUCCCGGAGUAGGGGUGAAAUCCUAUAAUCCCGGGAGGACCACCUGUGGCGAAGGCGCUCGGCUGGAACGCGUCCGACGGUGAGGGACGAAGGCCAGGGGAGCAAACCGGAUUAGAUACCCGGGUAGUCCUGGCGGUAAACGAUGCGGACUUUGUGUCGGACAAGCUAUGAGCUUGUCCGGUGCCGGAGGGAAACCGUUAAGUCCGCCGCCUGGGGAGUACGGCCGCAAGGCUGAAACUUAAAGGAAUUGGCGGG
rnacentral:rRNA from 1 species